GACGGGGCCCGCACAAGCGGUGGAGCAUGUGGUUUAAUUCGACGCAACGCGAAGAACCUUACCUGGGCUUGACAUCCCGAUCGCACCUUAUGGAAACAUAGGGGUCAGUUUGGCUGGAUCGGUGACAGGUGCUGCAUGGCUGUCGUCAGCUCGUGUCGUGAGAUGUUGGGUUAAGUCCCGCAACGAGCGCAACCCUUGUCCUUAGUUGCCAGCAUUCAGUUGGGCACUCUAAGGAGACUGCCGGUGUCAAACCGGAGGAAGGUGGGGAUGACGUCAAGUCCUCAUGGCCCUUAUGUCCAGGGCUACACACGUGCUACAAUGGCCGGUACAAAGGGGCGCAAGACCGCGAGGUGGAGCAAAUCCCAAAAAACCGGUCUCAGUUCGGAUUGGAGUCUGCAACUCGACUCCAUGAAGUUGGAAUCGCUAGUAAUCGCGUAUCAGCAUGACGCGGUGAAUACGUUCCCGGGCCUU
rnacentral:rRNA from 1 species